rnacentral:rRNA from 1 species
GACAGAGGGCGCGAACGUUGUUCGGAAUUACUGGGCGUAAAGCGCGUGUAGGCGGCAACGCAAGUCGGGCGUGAAAUCCCACGGCUCAACCGUGGAAGUGCACUCGAAACUGCGUAGCUAGAGUCCUGGAGAGGAAGGUGGAAUGCUUGGUGUAGAGGUGAAAUUCGUAGAUAUCAAGCGGAACACCGGUGGCGAAGGCGGCCUUCUGGACAGUGACUGACGCUGAGACGCGAAAGCGUGGGGAGCAAACAGG